CCUACGGGUGGCAGCAGUGGGGAAUAUUGGACAAUGGGCGAAAGCCUGAUCCAGCCAUGCCGCGUGUGUGAAGAAGGCCUUCGGGUUGUAAAGCACUUUCAGUGGGGAAGAAAGCCUUGGGGCUAAUACCCUCGAGGAAGGACAUCACCCACAGAAGAAGCACCGGCGAACUCCGUGCCAGCAGCCGCGGUAAUACGGAGGGUGCGAGCGUUAAUCGGAAUUACUGGGCGUAAAGCGCGCGUAGGCGGUCUGAUAAGCCGGUUGUGAAAGCCCCGGGCUCAACCUGGGAACGGCAUCCGGAACUGUCAGGCUAGAGUGCAGGAGAGGAAGGUAGAAUUCCCGGUGGAGCGGGGAAAUGCGUAGAGAUCGGGAGGAAUACCAGUGGCGAAGGCGGCCUUCUGGACUGACACUGACGCUGAGGUGCGAAAGCGUGGGUAGCAAACAGGAUGAGAUACCCGGGUAGU
rnacentral:rRNA from 1 species